UAAGCGGAGGAAAAGAAACUAACAAGGAUUCCCCUAGUAACGGCGAGCGAACAGGGAAGAGCUCAAAUUUGAAAUCUGGCGUCCUCCGGGCGUCCGAGUUGUAAUCUAUAGAGACGUUUUCCGCGCCGGACCGUGUCCAAGUUCCUUGGAACAGGAUAUCAAAGAGGGUGACAAUCCCGUACUUGACACGACGACCGGUGCUCUGUGAUACGUUUUCUACGAGUCGAGUUGUUUGGGAAUGCAGCUCAAAAUGGGUGGUGAGUUCCAUCUAAAGCUAAAUAUUGGCGAGAGACCGAUAGCGAACAAGUACCGUGAGGGAAAGAUGAAAAGCACUUUGGAAAGAGAGUUAAACAGUACGUGAAAUUGUUAAAAGGGAAACGAUUGAAGUCAGUCGUGUCUGGGAGGCUCAGCCGGUUCUGCCGGUGUAUUCCUCUCAGACGGGUCAACAUCAGUUUUGUCCGACGGAUAAUGGCGGCGGGAAAGUAGCACCUCCGGGUGUGUUAUAGCCCGCUGUCGCAUACGCCGGAUGAGACUGAGGCAUGCAGCUCGCCUUUAUGGCAGGGGUUCGCCCACUUUCGAGCUUAGGAUGUUGACGUAAUGGCUUUAAACGACCCGUCUUGAAACACG
rnacentral:rRNA from 1 species